GAAAUAUAUCAAACCCAGUUCAGUUUCUGCCUUUUGAAAUACUGAAGGUGAAAAACAGGGAAGAUGUGGAUAAUGUGAAAUUUCCUCUUGAUUUUAGCUCAUCUCCAGCCUUAAUCUGUGCUUCCACCUCCUGUUAAACAGCUGCUACAUGCCAGUCCAAGGACAGCUGCAUUUCAAUUCAUGUGAAAAAAAUCUUUUAUCUCCCAUGACUACUUCUCCAGGUUAGAGAAAAUAAGAGGCUGUUUCAUUACUGUGGUACAUGUGAAGCUGAAGAAAUUAUGUUGGCAACUGCCCUCAAAAUGAAGUAAAUAAGAGUGUUAUCACCAACAGUGUGAUUACACUGGGCUUCAUCAGGCUGAGAAUUUCAAGAAAACAGUAAUAAAGCCAUUUAAGAUGCAGCUAUAGUCUCAUCUACAGGUUUCCCAGCAUGACUUACGAUCUGUUGAUCCACUUUUACAAGACUGAACACUGGUUUAAGUUUCUGCAGUGAUUAGAUUACUAAAAACUUCAUGAAAAUCAUCAGCUGGAAGGAGGAGACCCAAACAAGCAUCUCUGAUGUAAGGGAGACAGGAAUUCAGACAGAAGGAGACAGUUAUUGACUAUGGCUGGAACCUGACAGAUGGCCGCACAAGCACGCAUCUAGGACCCUGGC